CCGUCCCAGGCCAGCAUCAGUUCGCGCCGGGGGACAAAGGCGGCGGGAACGUGGCUCCCCAGGGAGUGUUAUAGCCCGCCGCGCCAUGCCCCGGGGGCGGACUGAGGGCCGCGCAUCACUGCAAGGAUGCUGGCGUAAUGGUCACCAGCGACCCGUCUUGAAACACGGGCCAAGGAGUCGUCCUCGUAUGCGAGUGUUCGGGUGUCAAACCCCUACGCGGAAUGAAAGUGAACGUGGGUGAGAGCUUCGGCGCAUCAUCGACCGAUCCUGAUGUUCUCGGAUGGAUUUGAGUAGGAGCAUACGGGGCCGGACCCGAAAGAAGGUGAACUAUGCCUGUGUAGGGUGAAGCCAGAGGAAACUCUGGUGGAGGCUCGCAGCGGUUCUGACGUGCAAAUCGAUCGUCAAACAUGGGCAUGGGGGCGAAAGACUAAUCGAACCUUCUAGUAGCUGGUUUCCGCCGAAGUUUCCCUCAGGAAAU
rnacentral:rRNA from 1 species